rnacentral:lncRNA from 1 species
AUAAAUGAAGCAAUAAUUAUAUCCUUAAUUUGAAUUAUGGUACAUAAAUUGAAAUUUGGUAUGCUUAAAUGUAAUAAAUACAAACCUUAAACAUGAGGGGUAAUAAGGUUUGCUAUAUUGUAUAAAUAGGUAAAAAUCCCUAAAUAAAAAUUGGAGAAAGCACAGUGCUCAUUCCAUAAUUAACAGCCUAUAUCAUGUCUCUCUAAUAUUCCUACCAAUCAAUCAAUGUACAAAAUGUGGGGCUACUAUGAAUAUGACUAAUCAUGUGAAAUGAAAACUUUCAUUUCCAUAAUAAUUGAAUAAUACAAUAAAUACGCCGUCCUAGAAUGCUAUAGCAAGAGAAAUAAUGGUAUAGAUAAUUGACCACAUUGUUUGGUGAUUAUGUACGUCAGAACAAUUAAAAAUGACAUUAAAAUCGGGGUGGUUGUAGGUGAUGGUGAUGAUCCUGAAGAUGCACCAGUGCCGCUGAAUAUCAUUCCGAACAUAUCGACAUCGCCGCUGGUGGAUUCGGCAUGACCGCCGCCGCCGCCACCGCUAAUGCCUCCUUUGGAGGACAUGCUCAUGCUAUUGUCCCUGUUAUAUAAAGGAAGAUUGUUACGUUAAUCCCUUUAAUAGUAAGAAAAUGCAGAUGGGAUGUGGGAAGAGACUGUAUAAUAUUAACGAGUUUAAAACUAUUUACACAAUCAAGUCGCCUAUAAGGUAAUUUGGUGGAGAUUAGCGGAUACAUCUGACAUCGAUGGGUAAAAAGCCCUUAGAAAACUUAGCUAGCGUUUGACCAUAGAUUUCAAAUUAAUUUUGAAAAAUUUGAUUUGGGUGAAGUUUGAUUUGGAAAUGAAAAUGUGUUUGGACAUACGUUUUCAAAAUAUAUUUUUC